UGAACUGGUAUCAUCCUCAGUAUCAGAGUUUGCUUUUUCAUCUGCAGGAACAGGAUCUGCAACUUUCUCCACAUUAUCCUGAGCAGAUUUUCCUUUAUCUUCAGACUGUGACUUGAUGGGCUCUUCACCAGUCUGAGCCAGAGAUUGUAAAGCUUCCACAGCUACUUUGUCACUUUCCUCAACUGCAUCAGACUUGUAGUUCUCUGGAGCUGUAUCAUGAACAAUGGCAUCCUUAGGAAUUUUCAUUGGAGAUUGAGGAAUUUGACCAUGAUCAGAUAGUGGAGUUUGACAAUCAGACUGAGUUGCUCCAGCUUCAGCAGUAACUGGUUCAUCACACCUGAUCUCUUCAUCUACUGC
rnacentral:lncRNA from 1 species